rnacentral:rRNA from 1 species
UACGUAGGGGGCAAGCGUUGUCCGGAAUUAUUGGGCGUAAAGAGCGCGUAGGCGGUCCGAUAAGUCGGCUGUGAAAGUCAGGGGCUCAACCCUUGAAAGCCGGCCGAUACUGUCGGACUAGAGUCCGGAAGAGGCAAGUGGAAUUCCCGGUGUAGCGGUGAAAUGCGCAGAUAUCGGGAGGAACACCAAUGGCGAAGGCAGCUUGCUGGGACGGUACUGACGCUGAGGCGCGAAAGCAUGGGGAGCGAACAGG